rnacentral:rRNA from 1 species
AUUGAACGCUGGCGGCAUGCUUUACACAUGCAAGUCGAACGGCAGCGCGGGCUUCGGCCUGGCGGCGAGUGGCGAACGGGUGAGUAAUGCAUCGGAACGUGCCCAGUAGUGGGGGAUAGCCCGGCGAAAGCCGGAUUAAUACCGCAUACGACCUGAGGGUGAAACCGGGGGACCGAAAGGCCUCGCGCUAUUGGAGCGGCCGAUGUCGGAUUAGCUAGUUGGUGGGGUAAAGGCUUACCAAGGCGACGAUCCGUAGCUGGUCUGAGAGGACGACCAGCCACACUGGGACUGAGACACGGCCCAGACUCCUACGGGAGGCAGCAGUGGGGAAUUUUGGACAAUGGGGGCAACCCUGAUCCAGCCAUGCCGCGUGCGGGAAGAAGGCCUUCGGGUUGUAAACCGCUUUUGUUCGGGAAGAAAUCCUCUGGGCUAAUACCCCGGGGGGAUGACGGUACCGGAAGAAUAAGCACCGGCUAACUACGUG